UAAGCUUUUAUGAGCUUCAGCUCUUAGUCCAGUAUGCUUUAAAUUCAGAGUUUAAAAUAGAAUAGCUGUAAAGAGAUAGCUUUCUAACCAAAAGCUAUACCUGACAGUACAUUUGAGUUCUCAAUCGAAGUGAGAAGUAAUGAUGAACAUGCCUUCUCCAAAACCCCAAUUCCAAUGCUGUCGGUUAUAAAGGUUUCAGGAGCGUGUUUGCCUCUGAAGCUGUGUCUACGCUGAUUUUUAGCUAUCCUAACGRUGCAUCAUUGUAUCUACCUUAGGGAGCUGAGCUUGCAUCUUGGCCGAAGUAGUAAAGUGCAGCAGUGGUGGUACAUGCUGUUGUAUGGAAAGGCUUUGCCAUGAUGUAAAUGAAUUGYUGAUGAUAAAGCCGAAGUGAAGAUGAAACCUGACUGUCAGAUGGUUUGAAGACUGGAACAGGAAAAGGGGUAGAGGAAGAAAUCUAAAGAAGGACGGCUCUUGAAGUUGUAAUAAUUGUGAUUAAAAGUUCAAACUAGAUUUCAGCACUUCAGUUGUAUGUAAAGUGGCACAGAAUUAGGGUUGGCUAUCUUGGCUUUAGGAGUUUGAUUAGUAGCUCUUGAUUUUUUUUUUUUUAAUUUGUGGUGAUUAGAAUCUGUUUAAUAAAUAUGAGCUUUACCAUGAACUUCUGUAGGUCAUGGACUUCACCCUGAAUAUUUUGUUGUGGAGGUUACCUCACAUUUAAUUAAGUGGCAGGUAUAAGAGGUCCUUAAAUCUGACAACCCCCUCCCAUUCAGGAAUUAUAGAACAGACUGAGGAUGCUACAAAGACUUUCUGCAAGCCCUUUAUGUCAGCUUUUUCCAUUUUGUCUGUAGGGUCACACUUCAAAAGCUUUGCUUAUUUCUUUAGAAUUACAGAUGAGGAGAAAAAUCUUGCAGUGCCGAACAUCGUUCCCGGUCCCCCUCAGUGUGCAAUUAGACAUAUAUGUGAAUCUUUGUGUCUAGGAGUUGCAUAUGCACCAAACUUCUGGAUUACAAAUCCUGUGGAGAAUUUGGAAGAGGAGUCCAGGAUUCAAGAAGCAUGUCUCUUUUCUCAGCUGCAUACUCCACUUUGGCUGCCUAUGUGA
rnacentral:lncRNA from 1 species